CCUACAACGGAAGGGUAGCGCGCAUGCGCAACUCGUUAUCCAAUCAGCACCGAGUGGCGGGGCUCCGCGGGGUUGGCGGACUUCUGAAGGAGCAAAGAUGGCGGCCUGAGGCGUCCGGCGGCGAGCUGGCCUUUGGGCCGGCUGGGCCGGCUUCGGGCCGGUCCGGUGCUUCUGCUGGCUCAUGCGAGGAAGAACAUUUUCCUUGUCUUUUAGGUGCUUUUAUAUUCAUCUUGAAAAGAAAAAAAAUCUGAACUCAGGAUUUGGCAAGUAUUUCUGUGUUGUCUUCUGGAGUGGGGAGUCCUGCUUCUUCUAUCCAACCACUUCCAUAAUCUUGAAUUGUGGAUAUCCCUCCUCUACACUUGACCUCCAUGAUUUGGAUGCAAAAGACUGCUUUUCUUUUUUCCCACCUCUCAAAUUUAACACGGCGAAACUCCUAGGAUGCAGUCAAUCUGCCAACUUUUCCAUGAAGAAAGAAGCAACUGACAUGUUCUGCCAAUUGCUUACUUGUGAAGAAAUUGUUUUGCAAGCUGAAGGGUGAUAUUUAAUUUGAAACUGGUGCUUAGAUGGUGGAAUUUGUGAAUUCUUUACCUUUUAUUCCCAGGAAGAAGACUAUAUAAAUAGCCAGUGUAAGUGACAUCAGGGUUUGUUUGUUUUUUUUUAAUGUCUUCCCAUUUUAGCCACUAUCAAAAACAUUCGACUGCAGCAGUAAAUUUCAGGUGUGUUGUAAUUUGAAAUGAAAGAGAUGCUAAUAUAUAUAUAUAUAUCCUGGCUCAUCCGUGACAUAGAUGAACUGGAUAAGAACAAAGGUCCAGCUUUGCAGUGAAAUUUUGGAUGUGAAAAAAACAUAUAUCCAUUAAAAAGCAUAAAAACAAUACCCAUAAAGUUAAUUUUAUAUAUGAAUAAGCCAUCAUAGUUUCUGUAUAAAUAUAUAUUUUAACAUAUAAGUCCACCUUUUUUCUUUUUUUUCUUUUUUUAAUGAGAAGGGAUUUUUCUCCAAGAGGAGCCUGUUCUUUCUCAGAAGUAUUUGGACAUUUGGUAUUUUUAAAAAAUUUAUUUUUUUCUUCUAAGGAAGGACCAUAUUGUGCUAACCCAAUGAAUGCUUGUUUGAGUUUAGUGAAGGUUGGUAAAGGAAAGGAAAGCUUUGAGUCCAGUUUUGGAAUCCUUUUCACCUCCCUGGGAUAAAAGGCUGCUAUAUUACAAAUUAUUUCAUUCUUUUUUGUGGAGUUUUAUGUAACACUUGGGACUUUUUCCCUAUUGCUAAGGCUGGAAGAAAAGCGACUUAAAUAGAUUUUCUGUUCAGAAGAUGUGAUGAACCCUACAGUAUGACCUGCCUUCAACUUUGGACAUGGAGGAAUCGGGGGGAAGGAGAUGAGAAAAUUUUCAUAUAACUCCCUUCUCCUAAGAAAAUGAAGCAAAAAAAGCCUAUACAUUCACCUGGCUUUACGGCGUUUUACAUUCUAUAGCUCUAUUUUUUGUAGAAGUAUAAAUAACUUUCCUUUAUUGCUUUUUCUAGAUGAUAGCUGUAAUGUUAGGCUGAAAAUGCUGGGACUCAGGUAACUUUCCCCAUUUUCAUCAGAGAAUGGGCCUCAGAAGCAAUGUUCCCAAACAUGUGUUUGGAUCAGUAUAAAUUUAGAAGAAAUUCAGGUCUGAAAAAAACCUCAAACAAGAAAAAUAGUUCCAAUAAGAAAUAUGGAUCUUGCUUUUCCUUAAAGCUUACGCUAUAUGAUGAAUAGACUAGUAUAAAGCUGUUCUUGCUUCAAAAUUAGCAGAGGACCAGUGUGUGAAUUCUCAGGUCUUGACAUGAGAGGAAUGAAACCAUUUAUGGGUCUUUGUUAUUUGAGAAAGAAUUUAAAGCCUCUUAGGAACAAAUCAUCCUAGAUCAUGUCUGUGAUUUAGGGACUGCUUGCCCAGGGCCAUUCAUGUUGUUAUGCUGAAAACAGGCGAGAGUGUUAGGACAGGCCCAGAAUGGAAAUGUUGAAUACCCUAGAUAAUUGGUUUAAUUUGCAUAAGAAAACUUUUUAAGUAAAAAUAAUUAUAUAAAAUGUAAUUUUCCGUAAUUGAGGGCAAUUACUGAGUGGUGAAGCAUAGGAGUAACUUUUGAGGUAGUUUAAAUUUUUCUCUAUGUAACUUCCCAGCCACUUCCCGAUUCCUAAUAUUUUGGAAUUAUUAAUGGCAGAAUGGAAUUUACAUAUUUGGGUCCUGUUUGUAUAUUGAGAAUAUCAAAUGGAGAACUUGUAUCUUCAGUUAUUAUUACCCAUUUCCCUGGUGUCCUUUUGGCAACUUUUUAGGUGGAAUUAUUUGGCUAAAAAUAAGGAACCCUGUACUAUCAGAACCAGUGAAAACAUCUCUGGCCCACUUGUUUAAAAUAUGUAUCAGUCUCAACUUAGUUGCUUUAUGUGGUUUUUUUUUUCUUUCAUUUCAUAGCUAAGGAAACUACUGUUUAAUGUUUCAAGUUGUUUCUGCAUCUUGUCAGCAGAUAGCAUUUAACAAAAGGCUAUAUUCCAGUUGUAUUUGCCCAGUGUUUAUUUACUACAUCUACAUUGUUUUUUUCCUGGUUUGGUCCCCUUCUUGAUGACAAGUUUUCAUUUUCUGCAGGAUUAUGCCUCAGGCGAUAGCUGUGCCUGCUUCCUUUCCUUUGUGCAUCCAUUUUAGCUGGCAGUUGUUUUUUCUUUUCUUUUUUUGUUUGUUUUUUUAUUUGAAACCGGGAUAUGUGCAAUAGAAAUAUAUAUAUAUAUGUAUAUUUUAAUACUUGUGGACAAAUGUUACAAGUUGUUUCAGAACAACAAAAUCACCAAUGUCUUCCAUUUUGAGAUGUGUAUAGUUUUGUAAGCAUUAGUGCUUGGUAGCAUAUUUGUAGUGCCAUGUUAGGGGUUAGUGCAUGAGCCUAGUAACAAUUUAAACUUCAAGAUGAAUUAUUAUAAUAACCAAUAGUGUAAAAAGUGAAACAUUUAGGACUUUUCUUUCAUAAGUUUCUGUAUCCAUGAUAUUCUCCCUGGGGAGAGGAGAUUAGGCCAAAAAGACUCAUUUAUGAAUAGUAAUGUGGGGUCACAAUGUGAAAUACUGUGUUUGAGGAUAUUUAACCUUUUCAUGAGGUAGCUGGAAAACAGUUGCCGUUGUGUUUUAUGAAACCUCAAAUCUAAAUGUGGCCCCAUUUCAUGAUUCUGCUUUGCUCGGUUUUAGGUGAGAUUGUUCUUACGCUUUUUUCACAUUUUAUGUUUUUUAGGUUUAUAAUUUUCCCAUUUCUUUUUCAUCAGAAAUUAUUUUGCACAUCUUACUGAGAUGCUAUGUUUGUUGCUUGAGUGCCUUUCUAAUCUGCAACCUACUUACACUUCCUGUCUGCAGCAUGCCAUGUGUCAGUAGUUUAGAGUGUCCUAGAAUAAUUUGUCAUGGGCUUUUCCUAUUUCCAAGUUUGCUGAAUUGUGUAUUGUUGAGAUUCUAGACCUUUUCAUGGAAUUAGAAACGUAGCCAAUAGAGCCUACCUAAGUUGCCAUGUAAUAACUAACUUUUGCUUGGUUAUAGUAAGCUGCCUCAGACAGCUUUCACUUUUCUACUAUCCUUGUAGACAUAAAAGUUAUUUUGUUCUGAGAGCAUAAGAUAGCGUCUUGUAGAAAAGAAAUUCCUACCUCUAAAAGCUGCCUUGAGAACUUGGAAAUGGCAGUUUUCUGAGGUGAUUUUUAAAUCUCUUAGGAGAGCCCAGGAUUUAUUCACAGGUUCUACAGUUAGCAUGAUAGGAAAUGCAAAAACUAGUUUAAUGUGGUGUCCGAUGUAGAAGCAAGCUUAGACAAAUAGACUCUUCUGCAGCAGAUCUCCAGGGACCCAGGUUUAGAUGUGCAUAGUGUACUUUAAGUAGUUGUACUCUUGGCUCAAGUAGCUUAGUGCCUGCGAGAAUCCAUUUCUGAAAAGUAAAUACUUUUUUAAUACCUCUGAAAAGGUAAUGAAUGCAAAAUAGCACAGUAUAUAGGAAAGUAUGUUUCCUAUUG